GCCUACGGGUCUCAGCAGUUUUUUAUAUUUCACAAUUUUGUAAACCCUUAUGCAGCGACGCCGCGUGAGUGAAGAAGUAUUUCGGUACGUAAAGCUCUAUCAGCAGGGAAGAAAAUGACGGUACCUGACUAAGAAGCCCCGGCUAACUACGUGCCAGCAGCCGCGGUAAUACGUAGGGGGCAAGCGUUAUCCGGAUUUACUGGGUGUAAAGGGAGCGUAGACGGCAGCGCAAGUCUGGAGUGAAAUGCCGGGGCCCAACCCCGGAACUGCUUUGGAAACUGUGCAGCUCGAGUGCAGGAGAGGUA
rnacentral:rRNA from 1 species